UGGGGAAUCUUCCGCAAUGGACGAAAGUCUGACGGAGCAACGCCGCGUGAGUGAAGAAGGUUUUCGGAUCGUAAAACUCUGUCUUUUGGGGCGAACGUGAGUAUGGUGAACAAUCAUAGUCAGUGACGGUACCAAAGGAGGAAGCCACGGCUAACUACGUGCCAGCAGCCGCGGUAAUACGUAGGUGGCAAGCGUUGUCCGGAAUUAUUGGGCGUAAAGAGCGCGUAGGCGGGAUAGUCAGUCUGUUGUAAAAGUGCGGGGCUCAACCCCGUGAUGGCAAUGGAAACAGCUAUUCUUGAGUGCAGGAGAGGAAAGUGGAAUUCCCAGUGUAGCGGUGAAAUGCGUAGAUAUUGGGAGGAACACCAGUGGCGAAGGCGACUUUCUGGACUGUGUCUGACGCUGAGGCGCGAAAGCCAGGGGAGCGAACGGGAUUAGAUACCCCGGUAGUCCUGGCCGUAAACGAUGGGUACUAGGUGUGGGGGGUAUCGACCCCUUCCGUGCCGGAGUUAACGCAAUAAGUACCCCGCCUGGGGAGUACGGUCGCAAGACUGAAACUCAAGGGAAUUGACGGGGUCAUAGCUGUUUCCUG
rnacentral:rRNA from 1 species